rnacentral:rRNA from 1 species
AUGUCGUCAUUGUCGUCGUUAGCGGACCUCCCGUGGCAGGCGCGCGGCGGCGGGGUCUUCGACGUCGGGCAGGGCAGCGCGCUGGUGCUCGCGUCGUACCCGGUGCUCCUGCUCCUCGUCCUCCUCUCCGCGUUCGUCAGGUACGUGUGGAUCGCGCUGGCGCUCUACCGCGCGAUCUUGUUCGUGAUCACAUGCACCGGCCGCUUGCUGGCCGGGCCGGUGGUGUUCGUGCACGACGAGGCCACGGCGGCCGUCGAGCGGGGCGGCCUACCACAGGCGUCCAUUCCGGCCAUGCCAGCGUUCGUGUACGGCGCCGCAGCUUCGGCCGGUGCCGGCAAUCGCGAGGCCCAGUGCGCGGUUUGCCUGAAGGCUCUGUCCGGCGGGGAGAAGGUGCGGCGGCUACCGAUGUGCGCGCACACGUUCCACGUCGGGCGCAUCGACAUGUGGUUCCACUCUCAUGCGACGUGCCCGGUCUGCCGGUGCCAUGUCGAGCCGCAGAAGGCGGGCAAAGUGUCGCCAUUGUCGCCAGAGCCAGCUCGAUCUGCCGCCGGUGUAGUUGUUGCUGGCGGUGCCAGGACAAUUUUUUUAGAACGAAGGCUCAAGUCGAGUCCGGCUUCGAAUUAA